rfam:Dipodomys ordii contig_67637, whole genome shotgun sequence.
GGGAAUGUGGCUUAAUGAUAGAGUGCUUGCUUAGCAUGCAUGAAGCCCUGGGUUCGAUUCCUCAGUACCA